CAGAUGAAUAAAGUGAUAGAUGAAUGAAGUGAUAGAUGAAUGAAGUGAUAGAUGAAUGAAGUGAUAGAUGAAUGAAGUGACAGAUGAAUAAAGUGAUAGAUGAAUAAAGUGACAGAUGAAUAAAGUGAUAGAUGAAUGAAGUGAUAGAUGAAUGAAAUGAUAGAUGAAUGAAGUGAUACCCGGUGUAGAUGCCUCUGACUCCCUCGUUCUUCAAGAUGGAGAACAGAGCGUGGAAACUGGUUUUAUAUUCUCGAGCCUUCGUGCCCUGACCG